AGUUAAUUAGCUUAAUAAAAGCAUAUAUUUUGAAAAUAUAAGAUAUGUAAUAAAUUGACAUAUUAACUU
rnacentral:tRNA from 1 species